CGUCUGUGUUCUCUGGGAAAAGCAGCUCGGGUCUGUGGAGAACAUCCACGAGCACAGAUAACUCUGCCUGCACCAGGGGCCUGAGACGGUCCUCCAGCGCGGAGACGAUGUCCUAAAACGGAAACACAGCCUCAGUCAACGGCUCAGGCAGACGCUGACCACAGGAGGCCGCCAUGAUGUGAGGAAGCCCAGGCUAUAUGGAGAUGUUUCAGUCGACAACUCCAGCUGAGGUCCCACCUGACAACCAGCAUCAACUGCCAAAUAUGCGAGUGAGCAAGGUGUCAAGAUGAGUCCAACCGCAGUCACUAUCUGACUGCAACGCCAUGAAAGACUCUAAGCAAGAAAUAGCUAGCGGAGCCCAGUCAACCUCCAGAAGAGCAAAAGAGAAUAAGGUAAUUGUUGUGAUUUACUGCACGAAAUACAGGUAACU
rnacentral:lncRNA from 1 species